rnacentral:rRNA from 1 species
CCUACGGGAGGCUGCAGUAGGGAAUCUUGCGCAAUGGGCGAAAGCCUGACGCAGCAACGCCGCGUGAACGAGACGCCCUUCGGGGUGUAAAGUUCUUUCAAUGGGGACGAAAAAUGACGGUACCAACAGAGGAAGCACCGGCGAACUCCGUGCCAGCAGCCGCGGUAAUACGGAGGGUGCAAGCGUUGUCCGGAAUCAUUGGGCGGAAAGAGUUCGUAGGCGGCAUGUAAAGUCAGGUGGUAAAGGCGCAGGCUCAACCCGUGGAUGGCACUUGAUACUUGCAAGCUGGAAUGCGGUAGAGGUAAAGGGAAGUCCUGGUGUAGCGGUGAAAUGCUUAGAUAGCAGGAGGAACAUCGGUGGUGUAAGCGCUUUACUGGGCCGUAAUUGACGCUGAGGAACGAAAGCCAGGGUAGCAAAUGGGAUUAGAUACCCGUGUAGUC